rnacentral:rRNA from 1 species
GACGAACCGAGCGAACGUUGUUCGGAAUCACUGGGCUUAAAGGGCGCGUAGGCGGGCUGUCAAGUUUGGGGUGAAAUCCCGCGGCUCAACCGUGGAACUGCCUCAAAUACUGACGGUCUCGAGGGAGGUAGGGGCGAGCGGAACUGAUGGUGGAGCGGUGAAAUGCGUUGAUAUCAUCAGGAACUCCGGUGGCGAAGGCGGCUACCUGGACGGGUACUGACGCUGAUGCGCGAAAGCUAGGGGAGCAAACAGG